GUGUCACCCCUAAUGACAAGCCUAACCUUGUAUCUUUCAACACUACCAUCAGCCUUAUAUUUAAAUUUAUAAACCCAUUUGCAGCCUAUGGGCUUCUUACCAGGAGGAAGUGGAACAAUAUCCCAAGUAUGGUUGGCAUCCAAAGCCUCAAACUCCUUGCUCAUGGCAUCCUGCCAUGCUGGGACUGAUGUAGCUUGAGAAUAAUAGAGGGGUUCAGAUUCCAAAGGAGAGAAGAGGAGGAAGAGCCAGAAAAAGAAGGUAAGAUUGGCAUCCAAAGCCUCAAACUCUUUGCUCAUGGCAUCCUGCCAUGCUGGGACUGAUGCAGCUUGAGAAUAAUGGAGAGGUUCAGAUUCCAAAGGAGAAGAAGAGGAGGAAGAGCCAGAAAAGGAAGGUAAGUGACAGACAUAGUCAUUGAGAUAAGAGGGAAGAUUGUGUUGCCUGCCAGAUCUUUUGUGGCCAGUAGGGCAGCAGGGGAAGAAAUGGCAGGAGGAGAAGUAUCAGGAUUGAAAAGAUUACUGGAGGCAGAAUGGUUAAGAUCAGAAAGUAGGGAGGGAGAAAAGGAAGAGGGAACAGGACUGGAAGCAGAAGGAAAAGGAACAGGAGGAGAAGGGCAAAGAGGAACAGACAGAUCAAUCUCAGAAUAGGGAUGCUCAAGGGAAGGGACGGAAGGAGAAGGAAAAACAGAAGUACCAAAGGUAACAACAGAAGCAGAGUCAAAAGGAAAACAAGUUUCAUGAAAAAUAACAUCCCUGGACACAAAACACUUCUUAGUAAUUAGGUCAUAUAGCCUGUAACCCUUAUUGGCAAAGGGAUAUCCCAGAAAAACGCAAGAAAUAGCUCUAGGUUUCAGCUUAUCUCUCUGUGGGAUUGGUACAGUGGCAUAGGCAAGACAGCCAAAUGCCCUUAAAUAAGUAGGGGCCUUCCCAUACAAUAUUUCAUAAGGGGAUUAGUUGUGAAGGAUUCUGGAUGGAAUCCUAUUAAGCAAGUAGGUAGCAGUCAAUAAACAAUCCCCCCAAAGAUGGAUAGGUAAUUUGGAUUGAAAAAGUAAAGCUCUACAGGCUUCAAGGAGGGUCCUAUGUUUUCUUUCAACAACACCAUUUUGUUGAUAUGUAUAGGCAAUUUGGAUUGAAAAAGUAAAGCUCUACGGGCUUCAAGGAGGGUCUUAUGUUUUCUUUCUACAACACCAUUUUAUUGAGGAAUGUGGGGACAUGUAGUUUGAUGAAUAAUGCCAUGUUGGUUGAAGAAAGAAAUACCAGCAAGACUAGACCCCAAUUCCAAAGCAUUAUCACUCCUGAUAAUUUGUACAGUAGCACUAAAUUCAGUCUUAACCAUACACAAAAAGGACUUAAAAAGGCUGAAAGCAUUUCUUUUAGACCCCAGCAAAUGUGUC
rnacentral:lncRNA from 1 species